rnacentral:lncRNA from 1 species
UUCAUUUGCUUAGGUUCGAGGCUCUUAUGAUCAUUUGCUUAAGUCCGAGGAGUUAUGUUCAUUUGCUUAAGUCCGAAGCUCCAACAGUUCAUCUCCUUAAGUUAUGUUCAUUUACUUCAGUCCGAGGCUUAUACAGUUGACUGAUUAAUGCCAGGGAACCAAGUUAAAGUUAUUUAGUUCGUGCUCUAAUCAACUUCUGGUUCGCUUGCUUAACGAGGCACAAAAACUUGGACAAAGAACAACAAUUAGUGAAGAAAAACAUUAUAUUAAUAUUCAAAAGGAAUUACAAAGGAGGGCCUCUGGCCAUUACACAAAGUAC